rnacentral:rRNA from 1 species
GUGUCAGCCGCCGCGGUAAGACGAACCGUGCAAACGUUGUUCGGAUUCACUGGGCUUAAAGGGCGCGUAGGCGGGUCAGCAAGUCCGGGGUGAAAUCUUUCGGCUCAACCGGAAAAGUGCCUUGGAUACUGCUGGUCUGGAGGGAGGUAGGGGCAGAGGGAACUUCCGGUGGAGCGGUGAAAUGCGUUGAUAUCGGAAGGAACGCCGGUGGCGAAAGCGCUCUGCUGGACCUCUUCUGACGCUGAGGCGCGAAAGCUAGGGGAGCAAACGGGAUUAGAUACCCUCGUAGUCC